rnacentral:rRNA from 1 species
UACGGGGGGGGCAAGCGUUGUUCGGAAUUACUGGGCGUAAAGGGCUCGUAGGCGGCCAACUAAGUCAUACGUGAAAUCCCCAGGCUCAACCUGGGAACUGCGUCUGAUACUGGUUGGCUUGAGGUUGGGAGAGGGAUGCGGAAUUCCAGGUGUAGCGGUGAAAUGCGUAGAUAUCUGGAGGAACACCGGUGGCGAAGGCGGCAUCCUGGACCAAUUCUGACACUGAGGAGCGAAAGCCAGGGGAGCAAACGGG